ACGGGGUGCAGCAGGCGCGAAAACUUCGCAAUGUGGGAAACCACGACGAGGGGAGUCCAAGUGCUUGCACAAUGUGUAGGCUGUUUCCGUGCCUAAAAAGCACGGAGAGUAAGGGCUGGGUAAGACGGGUGCCAGCCGCCGCGGUAAUACCCGCAGCCCGAGUGGUGGUCGCUAUUAUUGGGCCUAAAACGUCCGUAGCCUGCCCGGUAAAUUCUUGGGGAAAUCGGUCAGCUCAACUGACCGAAGUCCGAGGAGACUGCCGGGCUUGGGACUGGGUGAGGUCAGAGGUACUUCAGGGGUAGGGGUAAAAUCCUGUAAUCCUUGAAGGACCACCAGUGGCGAAGGCGUCUGACUAGAACGGAUCCGACGGUAAGGGACGAAGCCCUGGGGCACAAACGGGAUUAGAUACCCCGGUAGUCCAGGGUGUAAACGCUGUGGGCUUGGUGUUGGGAGUCCUACGAGGGCGCCCAGUGCCGGAGAGAAGUUGUUAAGCCUACUGCCUGGGGAGUACGCUCGCAAGAGUGAAACUUAAAGGAAUUGGCGGGGGAGCACCGCAACGGGUGGAGCGUGCGGUUUAAUUGGAUUCAACGCCGGAAAACUCACCGGGAGCGACGGUUACAUGAAGACCAGGUUGAAGACCUUGUUUGAUUUUCCGAGAGGUGGUGCAUGGCCGUCGUCAGUUCGUACCGUAAGGCGUUCUCUCAAGUGAGAUAACGAACAAGACCCCUGCCUCUAAUUGCUAGUCUUCCCUCCGGGG
rnacentral:rRNA from 1 species